rnacentral:rRNA from 1 species
AUUGAACGCUGGCGGCAGGCCUAACACAUGCAAGUCGAGCGGAGCGGCGGACGGGUGAGUAAUGCCUAGGAAUCUGCCUGGUAGUGGGGGUUAACGUCCGGAACCGGGCGCCAAUACCGCAUCCUAUCAGUUGGGCCUAGGUCGGAUUAGCUAGUUGGUGGGGUAAAGGCCUAUAAAGGGGACGAUCCGUAACUGGGCUGAGAGGAUGAGCAGUAACACGGGAACUGAGACACGGUCCAGACUCCGACGGGAGGCAGCAGUGGGGAAUAUGGCACAAUGGGCGAAAGCCUGAUGAAGCCAUGCCGCGUGUAUGAAGAAGGCCUUCGGGGUGUAAAGUACUUUCAGCGGGGAGGCGUUACCCGCAGAAGAAGCACCGGCUAACUCCGUGCCAGCAGCCGCGGUAAUUC